rnacentral:rRNA from 1 species
GACGAGCCACACGAACGUUAUUCGGAAUUACUGGGCUUAAAGGGUGCGUAGGCGGCGUGGCAAGUUGGGUGUGAAAUCCCUCGGCUUAACCGAGGAACUGCGCCCAAAACUACCAUGCUCGAGGAAGAUAGAGGUGAGCGGAACUUACGGUGGAGCGGUGAAAUGCGUUGAUAUCGUAAGGAACACCCGUGGCGAAAGCGGCUCACUGGGUCUUUUCUGACGCUGAUGCACGAAAGCUAGGGGAGCAAACGGG